GGUUAAGUGACUAAGCGUACAGGGCGGAUGCCUUGGCAAUCAGAGGCGAUGAAGGACGUGCUAAUCUGCGAAAAGCUUGGAUGAGUCGAUAAGAGGCGUUUAAUCCAAGAUAUCCGAAUGGGGAAACCCAGUAGAUGAAGAAUCUACUAUCAAUAAAUGAAUACAUAGUUUAUUGAGGCGAACCGGGAGAACUGAAACAUCUAAGUACCCCGAGGAAAAGAAAUCAACCGAGAUUCUGUGAGUAGCGGCGAGCGAAAGCGGAAGAGCCAGUAAGUUUUAGCUAGCAUAUUAGAGGAAUUGGCUGGGAAGCCAAAUCAAAGAGGGUGAUAAUCCCGUACUCGAAAGUAUGUUAGUGGAACUAAGCUUACGAUAAGUAAGGCGGGACACGAGAAAUCCUGUUUGAAGAUGGGGGGACCAUCCUCCAAGGCUAAAUACUCCUGAUUGACCGAUAGUGAACCAGUACUGUGAAGGAAAGGCGAAAAGAACCCCGGUGAGGGGAGUGAAAUAGAACCUGAAACCCUGUACGUACAAGCAGUAGGAGCGAGGGCAACCUUGUGACUGCGUACCUUUUGUAUAAUGGGUCAGCGACUUAUAUUUUGUAGCGAGGUUAACUGAAUAAGGGAGCCGAAGGGAAACCGAGUCUUAACUGGGCGUUGAGUUGCAAGGUAUAGACCCGAAACCCGGUGAUCUAGCCAUGGGCAGGUUGAAGGUUGGGUAACACUAACUGGAGGACCGAACCGACUAAUGUUGAAAAAUUAGCGGAUGACUUGUGGCUGGGGGUGAAAGGCCAAUCAAACCGGGAGAUAGCUGGUUCUCCCCGAAAUCUAUUUAGGUAGAGCCUUGAGCGGACACCUUCGGGGGUAGAGCACUGUUUCGGCUAGGGGUCCAUCCCGGAUUACCAACCCGAUGCAAACUGCGAAUACCGAAGAGUGAUACUCAGGAGACACACGGCGGGUGCUAACGUUCGUCGUGGAGAGGGAAACAACCCAGACCGCCAGCUAAGGUCCCAAAGUCUAUAUUAAGUGGGAAACGAAGUGGGAAGGCUUAGACAGCUAGGAUGUUGGCUUAGAAGCAGCCAUCAUUUAAAGAAAGCGUAAUAGCUCACUAGUCGAGUCGGCCUGCGCGGAAGAUGUAACGGGGCUCAAAUAUAGCACCGAAGCUGCGGCAUCAGAAUUUAUUCUGUUGGGUAGGGGAGCGUUGUGUAAGCGGAUGAAGGUGGCUCGAGAGGGUUGCUGGACGUAUCACAAGUGCGAAUGCUGACAUAAGUAACGAUAAAACGAGUGAAAAACUCGUUCGCCGGAAGACCAAGGGUUCCUGUCCAACGUUAAUCGGGGCAGGGUGAGUCGGCCCCUAAGGCGAGGCUGAAAAGCGUAGUCGAUGGGAAACGGGUUAAUAUUCCCGUACUUGGAUAAACUGCGAUGUGGGGACGGAGAAGGUUAGGUUAGCAGACUGUUGGAUGUCUGUUUAAGGUGGUAGGUGGAAGACUUAGGCAAAUCCGGGUCUUUAUAAACACUGAGAGCUGAUGACGAGGUCUUAAGGGACUGAAGUAACUGAUACCCUGCUU
rnacentral:rRNA from 1 species